rnacentral:rRNA from 1 species
CCUACGGGAGGCAGCAGUGAGGAAUAUUGGUCAAUGGAGGCGACUCUGAACCAGCCAAGUAGCGUGAAGGAUGACGGCCCUAUGGGUUGUAAACUGCUUUUAUGAAGGGAUAAAGUGAGGCACGUGUGGCUUAUUGUAGGUACCGCAUGAAUAAGGAUCGGCUAAUUCCGUGCCAGCAGCCGCGGUAAUACGGAGGGUCCGAGCGUUAUCCGGAUUUAUUGGGUUUAAAGGGAGCGCAGAUGGGCCGUUAAGUCAGUUGUGAAAUUCUGCGGCUCAACCGUGACAGUGCAAUGGAUACUGGCGGGCUUGAGUGCAGUUGAGGUAGGCGGAAUUCGUGGUGUAGCGGUGAAAUGCUUAGAUAUCACGAAGAACUCCGAUUGCGAAGGCAGCUUACUAAAGUGUCACUGACAUUGAGGCUCGAAAGUGCGGGUAUCAAACAGGAUUAGAUACCCGAGUAGUC